UACGUAGGGGGCAAGCGUUAUCCGGAUUUACUGGGUGUAAAGGGUGCGUAGCCGGAAAUAAAAGUCAGAUGUGAAAGCCCGAGGCUCAACUUCGGGACUGCAUUUUGAAACUCUAUUUCUAGAGUGCAGGAGAGGAAAGUGGAAUUCCUAGUGUAGCGGUGAAAUGCGUAGAUAUUAGGAGGAACACCAGUGGCGAAAGGCGACUUUCUGGACUGUAACUGAUGGUGAGGCACGAAAAGCGUGGGGGAGGCAAAACAGG
rnacentral:rRNA from 1 species